rnacentral:rRNA from 1 species
AUUAAAGUUGUUGCGGUUAAAAAGCUCGUAGUUGGAUUUCUGGUUUGAUGUUGUUGGCCCGCUGGCACUCGCUGGCUGGUGCCGACUUGCGUCUACCAUCUUUCUAGAGAACUAGCAUGCCCUUCAAUGGAGCGUACUAGGGAUCUAGAUCUUUUACUUUGAAAAAAUUAGAGUGUUUAAAGCAGGCAAUUUGCUAUGAAUACAUUAGCAUGGAAUAAAUAAUUUAGGACUUCGUGUCUUAUUUUGUUGGUUUCUAGGACCGAAGUAAUGAUUGAUAGGGAUAGUUGGGGGUGCUAGUAUUCAGCGGCCAGAGGUGAAAUUCUUGGAUUCGCUGAAGACUAACUUAUGCGAAAGCAUUCACCAAGGAUGUCUUCUUUAAUCAAGAACGAAAGUUGGGGGAUCGAAGACGAUCAGAUACCGUCGUAGUCUCAACCAUAAACUAUGCCGACUAAGGAUCAGUGAACGUUGCAUUUUCGACUUCACUCGCACCUUAUGAGAAAUUAAAGUCUUUGGGUUCCGGGGGGAGUAUGGUCGCAAGGCUGAAACUUAAAGGAAUUGACGGAAGGGCACACCAGGAGUGGAGCCUGCGGCUUAAUUUGACCCAACACGGGAAAACUUACCAGGUCCAGACAUAAUAAGGAUUGACAGAUUGAAGAUCUUUCUUGAUUUUAUGGGUGGUGGUGCAUGGCCGUUCUUAGUUGGUGGAGUGAUUUGUCUGGUUAAUUCCGUUAACGAACGAGACCUCGACCUGCUAAAUAGUUUGGUGAAUUCUCCGGGAUUCAUUUACGACUUCUUAGAGGGACUAUCGGUGAUUUAGCCGAUGGAAGUUCGAGGCAAUAACAGGUCUGUGAUGCCCUUAGAUGUCCUGGGCCGCACGCGCGCUACACUGAUACGUUCAUCGAGCUUACAACCUUGUCUGAGAGGACUGGGUAAUCUUUUUAAACCGUAUCGUGCUGGGGAUAGAUUAUUGUAAUUUUUAAUCUUUAACGAGGAAUUCCUAGUAAACGCUGGUCAUCGACCAGCAUUGAUUACGUCCCUGCCCUUUGUACACACCGCCCGUCGCUACUACCGAUUGAAUGGCUUAGUGAGUUCCAGGGAUUGUUGUAUCUGAUUGGUCCGCCUUUCUGGUACAUCCGAGAACUGGAUCAAACUUGAUCAUUUAGAGGAAGUAAAAGUCGU